rnacentral:tRNA from 1 species
GGCCAGUUAGCUCAGUCGGUUGAGCGUGGCGCUAACAACGCUAAUGUUGUGGGUUCAAUUCCUGUUUGAUCC